UACGGCGGGAGCUAGCGUUGUUCGGAAUUACUGGGCGGAAAGCGCACGUAGGCGGCGAUCCAAGUCAGGGGUGAAAGCCCGGGGCGCAACCCCGGAACUGCACUUGAAACUAGGUUGCUAGAAUACUGGAGAGGUGAGUGGAAUUCCGAGUGUAGAGGUGAAAUUCGUAGAUAUUCGGAAGAACACCAGUGGCGAAGGCGACUCACUGGACUGUUAUUGACGUUGAGGUGUGAAAGCGUGGGGAGCAAACAGG
rnacentral:misc_RNA from 1 species